AUACGGAGGGUGCAAGCGUUAUUCGGUAUCACUGGGCGUAAAGGACGCGUAGGCGGGUUGGCAAGUCAGACGUGAAAUCCUACAGCUUAACUGUAGAACUGCAUUUGAAACUGCUAACCUAGAGUAUGGGAGGGGGAGAUGGAAUUAGUGGUGUAGGGGUAAAAUCCGUAGAUAUCACUAGGAAUACCGAAAGCGAAGGCGAUCUCCUGGAACAUAACUGACGCUAAGGCGUGAAAGCGUGGGGAGCAAACAGGAUUAGAUACCCUAGUAGUCC
rnacentral:rRNA from 1 species